rnacentral:rRNA from 1 species
UACGUAGGGUGCAAGCGUUAUCCGGAAUUAUUGGGCGUAAAGAGCUCGUAGGCGGUUUGUCGCGUCUGCUGUGAAAACCCGAGGCUCAACCUCGGGCCUGCAGUGGGUACGGGCAGACUAGAGUGCGGUAGGGGAGAUUGGAAUUCCUGGUGUAGCGGUGGAAUGCGCAGAUAUCAGGAGGAACACCAAUGGCGAAGGCAGAUCUCUGGGCCGUAACUGACGCUGAGGAGCGAAGCAUGGGAGCGAACAGG